GCUAAACGCCGCUAGGAGCGCUGGCUGUACUAUUUACAGACAUCACAAAAAGUUGACCGAGAAAAGUAUACGUCGUGUUACGCCUUGUCAUGAAUAUUCAAAGUGUCAAACAUUGACCACGUGAUGUUUACCAUCGAGAAAAAUAGAUGAACUUGCUGUCGAGUAGGAUUUUGAGAAGCUGAGGAACUGUAGCUGAAGAAGUAAGCUACAUAAUAUAUACUCAUCCAAAUCCAAACAUAGCCAAAGGCGAUCCCUGAUAUUACUUGGUACAACAUAAAAUAGACAAAUGAUGAUGAUAUAUAGGCCUACUCAUACAGCUUGCAUGAGGACUAUAAAAAGGGGGGCUUGAAACUGACUGUUUCUCAGCAUUCUCAAGAAAGUCCAUAAUUAUUAUAAAUUUGGUAUGAAUCAUAGAAAUUAUUCAUUCUAGAUAGUUCACAAUUGCAGUAUCGUUGUCAUUUUUGAGUCAAUGGUUGUAUCUGAAAACCCGUUGGCAAUGCUAUA